UGGGGAAUAUUGCACAAUGGGCGCAAGCCUGAUGCAGCCAUGCCGCGUGUGUGAAGAAGGCCUUCGGGUUGUAAAGCACUUUUAGCGGGGAGGAAGGCGAUAAGGUUAAUAACCUUGUCGAUUGACGUUACCCGCAGAAGAAGCACCGGCUAACUCCGUGCCAGCAGCCGCGGUAAUACGGAGGGUGCAAGCGUUAAUCGGAAUUACUGGGCGUAAAGCGCACGCAGGCGGUCUGUCAAGUCGGAUGUGAAAUCCCCGGGCUCAACCUGGGAACUGCAUUAGAAACUGGCAGGCUAGAGUCUUGUAGAGGGGGGUAGAAUUCCAGGUGUAGCGGUGAAAUGCGUAGAGAUCUGGAGGAAUACCGGUGGCGAAGGCGGCCCCCUGGACAAAGACUGACGCUCAGGUGCGAAAGCGUGGGGAGCAAACAGG
rnacentral:rRNA from 1 species